AACGAACGCUGGCGGCGUACUUAACACAUGCAAGUCGGACGAGAAAGGGAGCUUCGGCUCCUGAGUACAGUGGCGUACGGGUGCGUAGCACGUAAGUCAUCUGCCCCAGACUUUGGGAUAACGGCUCGAAAGGGCCGCUAAGACCAGAUAGCGCCUUGCAGUAUAGACUGUGAGGGGAAAGCGGGCCUCUCCGAGGCUCACGGUCUGGGAUGAGCUUGCGGCCCAUUAGCUUGUUGGUAGGGUAAUGGCCUACCAAGGCAACGAUGGGUAGCUGGUCUGAGAGGAUGAUCAGCCACGCUGGCACUGAGACACGGGCCAGACUCCUACGGGAGGCAGCAGUGGGGAAUUUUGCGCAAUGGGCGAAAGCCUGACGCAGUAACGCCGCGUGGAGGAUGAAGGCCUUCGGGUCGUAAACUCCUGUCAGGGGGGAAGAGGACGUGUGUCCAAAUAGGUCUAGCGUUCAGACGGUACCCCCAAAGGAAGCCCCGGCUAAUUC
rnacentral:rRNA from 1 species